rnacentral:rRNA from 1 species
CAGACCUGCUAAACGGAAAAGUAG